AAUCUUAAUAAGACGCAAAAAAAACAGCUCCAAUCUAGAACCCACUUUCAGAUCCACACACCCAACACAUAGUACUUACUCAAACACCACCGAAUACCGAAAACAGACGCACAACGCGACGCAAACACAACCGCAACCAGGCCACCGGGUACGGCGGCCCGGCGACACUACCUUUGUCUUGCCACAGGUUUCCUUUUCUCUUUUUCUGCCGAUUCCGAUGAUACCACUAUAGGGAGGAGUCUUUAGAGCUAAGCAAACUGAAACAGGGAUGAUGAUAGUACGACGACAACAAGAGAAAAAGGAGGAGCUAGGGGAACCUAACUAUCUGACCCGCUUUCCAGCACCCGCCUUUGGUGAUCGCUCCUUCAUGAACCCGCAUGUCUCGCCUGAUUCGCCAGGACCAUUACGUUUGUUCCUCAUGGCUAGCUGGGAGGAUCGGGUAUGCGAUCAAGCAGCUACGCCGGUCUUGACAGCACCGUUGGCAACGGCAGGCUUCUUCUCGGUCACCGCAGGCUUCUUCUCGGCCGCUGCUGUUUGGGCCACCUUUGCCGCGUAGGUAACGGCUGGAGGACCAGCAGCAGGGGCGGCUUUCUCUGCCGGAACCUUCACGCCCCCGUUGACACCGUUCGCUACAGGAGACUUCGGCUUCCCAUUGAUGGC
rnacentral:lncRNA from 1 species